rnacentral:rRNA from 1 species
CAUGCAAGUCGAGCGGACCGACGGGAGCUUGCUCCCUUAGGUCAGCGGCGGACGGGUGAGUAACACGUGGGUAACCUGCCUGUAAGACUGGGAUAACUCCGGGAAACCGGGGCUAAUACCGGAUGCUUGAUUGAACCGCAUGGUUCAAUCAUAAAAGGUGGCUUUUAGCUACCACUUACAGAUGGACCCGCGGCGCAUUAGCUAGUUGGUGAGGUAACGGCUCACCAAGGCGACGAUGCGUAGCCGACCUGAGAGGGUGAUCGGCCACACUGGGACUGAGACACGGCCCAGACUCCUACGGGAGGCAGCAGUAGGGAAUCUUCCGCAAUGGACGAAAGUCUGACGGAGCAACGCCGCGUGAGUGAUGAAGGUUUUCGGAUCGUAAAACUCUGUUGUUAGGGAAGAACAAGUACCGUUCGAAUAGGGCGGCACCUUGACGGUACCUAACCAGAAAGCCACGGCUAACUACGUGCCAGCAGCCGCGGUAAUACGUAGGUGGCAAGCGUUGUCCGGAAUUAUUGGGCGUAAAGCGCGCGCAGGCGGUUUCUUAAGUCUGAUGUGAAAGCCCCCGGCUCAACCGGGGAGGGUCAUUGGAAACUGGGGAACUUGAGUGCAGAAGAGGAGAGUGGAAUUCCACGUGUAGCGGUGAAAUGCGUAGAGAUGUGGAGGA